CAUGUCCUUUUGAUUAUAAUUUAAGGUCUAAUCUGCUCAAUGAUUAAUUAAAUAGCCGCGGUAUUUUGACCGUGCAAAGGUAGCAUAAUAAUUAGCUUUUUUAUUGAAAGCUGGAAUGAAUGAUUGGACGAGAAAACUACUGUCUCUUUCUUAAAAAUUGAAUUUAACUUUUUAGUGAGAAGGCUUAAAUUAUAAUUAAAGACGAGAAGACCCUAUAGAGUUUAAUUAAUAAAGAUAAAGUUGUGUAUUGGAAUAAUUAAGAAUUUUUUUGUUGUUAAUUUGGUUGGGGUGAUGUAAGGAUUUAUAAAACUCCUUUAGCUUUUUAUCAUAAAUUUAUGAUUUUAGAUUCUAGAAUUAUUUAAUUUUAAAAUAAAUUACCUUAGGGAUAACAGCGUAAUUUUACUUUAGAGUUCUUAUUAAAAGUAAAGUUUGCGACCUCGAUGUUGGAUUAAAAUAAAUUUCUGGUGCAGUAGCUAGUGAAUUAAGUCUGUUCGACUUUUAAAAUUUUACAUGAUCUGAGU
rnacentral:rRNA from 1 species